rnacentral:RNase_P_RNA from 1 species
CCAGACGGCCGGGCGAUCGCUGUCGCAUUUGCGGUGGAGGAAAGUCCGGGCUCCACGGGAGAACGGUGCCGGCUAACGGCCGGCGAGGGCGACCUCAGGGAAAGUGCCACAGAAAACAAACCGCCUUCCGGGCCUGGAGACAGGCUGGAGGUAAGGGUGAAACGGUGCGGUAAGAGCGCACCGCGCUUCCGGUAACGGCGGCGGCAGGGCAAACCCCACCGGGAGCAAGACCGAAUAGGGGCGACAGGCGGGGCGGCGCGAGCCGUCGCCGCCGGAGGUUCUCCCGCCUCGUCGCCCGGGUUGGUCGCGUGAGGCGCGUCGCAAGACGCGUCCCAGAGGAAUGAUCGUCCCGAUCCUUUCGAGGGUCGGACAGAACCCGGCUUACAGGCCGUCUGGCUCC